rnacentral:lncRNA from 1 species
GUAACAAGACAAACAUUGUUUGAAAAACACAUAAAUUGUUUAUCUAUUUAGUGGAAUUACGAUGAUAAGAACAUGAUAAUAAAAACAUUAUAAUGUUAGUGUAAUUGUUCUUUUAACAUUAUUCAUGUUACAUUUAUAUGUGAUUGCAUGCGUAAACAGGGGACACAAAAUUGUCAAACAUUAGUCUUUUCUAAUUGUUCUAGGCUUUUGUUAUGUUUACCUUCUUUUCACCGUGCUAGUCUCUUCUUUAAUUAUUUAUUAGAACAUGUAGAAGUCUUUACAAAAUAUAUAUAAUUGAAAUCUUAUUUGAAAACCUUAAAAAAACUCGAUUGGUGACCUAUUAAUGUCAAAAAUAUUUGUAUUGUUGGGUUGCUGUUUCGUGGAUAUAUGACCAACGUCUAAUUGUAUUCCUACACUAUGAUAUAAUGACAAAACCAAAUAAUGUUUAUCCCAAGCCUGGUAUAAAAAAAAAGAUUAAUAACUUUAAAAAAAAUCAAGCUCUUAUUAAAUUGGAAGUCUUCGCAUUAAUUUGAUAGGUACUGCUGUGUUAUAUUUAUUUUCCUAAUUAUUUCAUUCUUUUUUUCUAUCAUCAAUUAAUGCAUAUAUAACCUAUCAAUUGCCAUAACAAAAAUUCAAUGCAUGCUGAUAAUUAAAAAAGGUCAUAGUAACAAAAAAGCAUCUUCUUUUAUACAUUCAAGUUUAAAACUAAAGUAAAAAUUCAUUCUAUAUAUAAUACAGAUAAUACAUUUUACAUUUUUCCAUUGGAAUAUAUGUAUAUACGGUAAUGUAACAAAUGGAUAACAUUUUCUCUUAUUUAUAACAUAUAAAAUAAAGACACUGUUCACAUAAUUUGAGCAUAACAAUUUCAACCUUCUGAAAAAAAUCUACAUCUUAUUUCAAAUAGUACCUUUCUUAGCUUUGGUUAUCGUUAUGUAAUUAAAAAACAUCUUUCGACUUACAUAACAAUUCAAAAACGAAAUAAAAUAGUUUCCUCGUCCCUUUUUAUUUUAGUCUGAUUGAUUUUUUUAACACACACACACAGAUUUAAUUUCAACGAUUCCGUUUUGAUAUAAUGUAUUACAUAAGUUUCAUUUCAUAAAUAAGCGUUAUAGUUUCUAAAAAAUGUAUAUGUAAUAUGACGUCACAAGUAUUAGUUUCUAUACAGUUUAUUAGUGAUGAUAAAAUGUUUAUGAACAUACAUUUUAGUGCAUUUGAAUGUUUGUUUCAUGACUAGCUUUGCUAGGAUAAGCUCCUAUUUAUCAUACUAAAUAUGAGCACCAAUAAUACAUCUUAUAUGAGCCAGUCCAUGCGAAAAGGUACAAAAAGUCCUUUUGAUAA